GUCCACGCCGUAAACGAUGGAUACUAGCUGUUCGGAGCAAUCUGAGUGGCUAAGCGAAAGUGAUAAGUAUCCCACCUGGGGAGUACGAACGCAAGUUUGAAACUCAAAAGGAAUUGACGGGGGCCCGCACAAGCGGUGGAGCAUGUGGUUUAAUUCGAUGAUACGCGAGGAACCUUACCAAGGCUUAAAAUGUAGAUUGACCGGUUUGGAAACAGACUUUUCGCAAGACAAUUUACAAGGUGCUGCAAUGGUUGUCGU
rnacentral:rRNA from 1 species